UUAAAAGCUAAGAAAAAGAAGAGUAGUUUAAAAGAAGAAUUUCAGAGAGAGGGGAGUGCUGGAAACCCUUAUUUAGAUUUUAAAUGAAGUGCCCUUUGGAGCUUAAACUCAGAAAUAAAGUAUGAGUUUACGGGAGUGCCCGUUAUAGUAAUAAAGCAUGUUAGUGCUUGAAUAAAGGUGGAAUUAUUGUUUUUAAUUCAAUUAGAGUGGGACCGCGAAAAUACUUCGUCUCUAUA
rnacentral:ncRNA from 1 species